GAGUUAACCAUUACCGCUCUCUUUGGGGAGAUGGUGAUGUAAACCCUAAACCAUGUGACACUUUAAUAAAUAAUACAGCCGACAGAAACAAACACACACUGUUCCAUCGACAGGCGAACAAAACGCGAAUCUCCAGGUAUAAACAAAGAUUUCAGAAGGAAAAGAAUAACAGAUAGAGGGACAGCGGGAGGAUGUGCUGUCUGCCGGCGGAGCAGACUUUACGCGCGUUCAGCGACUCUGUGAGCGCCCACCGAUGCGCUCAGAUGCCGUUAGCGCAGCGACUUCGCUGGAUCGGAGACCAGCUGGAGAAACGAUGGGCCGCAAACGACAAAAGCUCCCAGAAUGAGGAAAGAAGCGGAGGGGAAAACAUAAUCAGAAGCUUCCAAAUAGUGUGCACAGUCAUUCAAGUAACGCUUCUCGUGUUUUUAGUAAAAAAGCGACAUCUGUAGGUGAGAUGACGCUCUCCUGAUCUGGAGAAACAGCAGCAACAGAUGAAUCUACAGAUUCUCCUGGGAUGAUCUGCUUGAGCUUUAGCGGAGAGGAGAAGGUGCCGGUGAAGUCUGCACUAUGUAGAAACUUGCCAUACAAACAGUGGGUCAAUGUUUCACAUUCAUGUAAAUCACAACUAUUGCAAUAGUGUUGUAGAGGAAACAUGCAAACACCUGACACAUCUGUGCUGUACAUUACAAGCGCGCUGAUCACUUUCAUAACUUCUGAUGACUUUUAAUCCAUCCCGUAGUCUUCUUGAUCACUGAAGCACUGCAAGCCGAUGUCAUGUGGUACACGUUUGUUUGGUAGAACUCUUUAAGGUCAGUGUAAUCUAACCCAGCUGUGUCUCCUGGGAAUUUUUUUUAAAUACAAGGCUGAUGUCAUUGUCCCCUGGCAUUUGCAGGGAACUUUUUUAGCACCAUGGCAAUAGGAGCCUUGUCUCAACUUUGAUGACCUUCUUGUUGUUGUUUUUGGGCACUGUUGUUUUUUUUGUUUUGUUUUUUUGGAUAUGCAAAAGUUAAAAAUAGUAAAUAGUUAAAAUAUGAUUAAAGGCAUUGUUCUGUCAUCAUUUUCUCACCUUCAUGUUCUUUCAAACCUGUAUGACUUUCUGUCUUCCACGGAACACAAAAGGAGAUGUUAGGCAGAAUGUUAUGGGCUAACAGCCUCGGUCACCAUUCACUUUCACUAAUCUUUUGUCCAUACAAUGAAUGUGAAACAUUUCCUUUCGUGUUCCACGAAAGAAUGUCAUACAGGUUUGGAACAACAUGAGGGUGAAUAAAUGAUGACUGAAUUUUCAUUUUUUGGUGAACUAUACCUUAAGAGAGUCAAUCUUCAGAGGAGAACUACCAAAAACACCGUUACCAAAUCCUCUCCUCUGCAUAAUGCACUGUUAAAUUUAGUUAUAAGCUACUGUAUGUGACUAUGCCAUUCAAUAUCUAAGCUGUGAUUUUGUUUGUUGUUUUUAUGAGAUAUUCUCAAUACUGUACUAUUCUCAAUGGAAAGGAUAUUUAUACUGUAGGAUGAUUUGAGGUGUUUUUGAUAUGGAUGUUUACAAAUGAAGACAAAUCGUUUUUAAGAACUUUUUAUAAAGAGCUUUUGGCUUGAUUGUUUGUGUCAGUGUUAAUAUAGAAACUUUUCAUGACUGGGAUUUCAUGCGAAUGUGAAUCAAAGGGCAUGCUACUGAUGUUUACAUAAGCUACAAUCUUUUAUAGUUUACACUACCAUGUGUUUUAAACAUGUUUUACCUCUACUAUUUUGUUAUUGUGAAUUUUGUCACUAAUAAAAAAUAAAAAAGCUUUACCGAAAAUA